UGAUUGAUUAUGCAAGCGUGGGCUACC
rnacentral:piRNA from 1 species